CGAAAUGCGAUAAGUAAUGUGAAUUGCAGAAUUCCGUGAAUCAUCGAAUCUUUGAACGCACAUUGCGCCCUCUGGCAUUCCGGGGGGGAUGCCUGUCCGAGCGUCAUUACGCACCCUCAAGCCCGGCUUGUGUGAUGGGCCCCGGCGUCUCGUUCGCGAGACGGGCCCGAAAGGCAGCGGCGGCGUCGACCCGAUGAGCCCGAGCGUAUGGGGACUUCUGUCACACGUUCGCGGUGCGGACCGGCGCCUGCUUGACUUUUCUGAUUAUCCAGGUUGACCUCGGAUCAGGUAGGGAUACCCGCUGAACUUAAGC
rnacentral:misc_RNA from 1 species